GUUCCACUAUGGGCUUAGGCUUUUGGAAACAAAGUCCAGAAGACUACACAUUGCUUCUGCUCUCCACCUGACAUACAUCUCUCCGGGGCAGCAAGGGAGUGCAGGCUACCUGCUUGAAUUGGAGGAAUGAAAAGGGAAGAUACAAAAAGAAACAAAACAAUAUCUGAAAAUAUGCAGCCGUAAAGCAAGUCACAUGGCUGCCUAAGUAGACCACAUUCCCCAGUCUCCCCUGUAGCGGGUGUAAUCAUAUGACUAAGUUAUUGCCAAUGGAACCAAACUGGAAGUGAUAUGUGCCACUUCUGAGCCCACGUUUCAUAAAAAAGCCAAGCAGUUCACACACCAUGACCUGCAGGAAUCCUUCCUUGAACUUCUGCCCUCAAAAUUAGCUAAGUUAGGACUCUUCUCUACUAUGAUCCUCCCUGGAUCUUUCUUCAAGACUCUAAGAAGAGACUAGGAAACAAAACUCUCGUUAAGAAAAGAAUAAAAUAUCCAGACCUUAUUUCCGUAAAUGGCUUAACCAGAAUUCCCUUUCUUCUUCAACGCAAGAGGGUUCUUCUAAAACAGCUUUCACUGAACAGUGAACACUGUUGCUGUGUUGCAAAGAUGAAAGCAAGAUUCCAUGUGUGAAGCCCAAAUUGAAAUCACAGAAGGCAGGAUUCACACUGCUAAUUGUUGCUUAGCAAUAAAAUGUGCAAAACCUGCUAAUGGAACAGUGACACCAGGCACCAGAGGCAUCUGUAUCCACACUGGCAGUAAAUUAGGGAAUUAGAAACCCUACAGUAACAGCAAGAAAAGGAAUGCCAUCCCUUAGGAACCCAGGGAGGGUUUCUGCACUCGUUCCUGCUUACUGCUCAGUUGAAAAGAAAGUCUCUUCAUUCACUAGAUACUGCUAUUGUGACGCUUGAAGACUGCAAGGAAAUAGAUGCUCGGAGGUUCAGAUUAUUCUAAAAAGUGUCCCUGAUGGAUUUACACGUGCCUGCAAAAAAAUCGUAUUUUUUUCCCCUGUUGAAAAGAUUUGCAGUAAAGAUAGAUCUUCAAAUCCCAGCCUGUACAUUUGCUAAUGGAGCAGAGUGGGAUAGGAAGCUCUGUCACUGCCACCUCAUCACAAGUGUUCUGUGGGUAGUAGUCAUGCCUCCAGCAUAAAGACUGUGUGUCAGAAACCAAAACAAACAAAGAGCCCACAGUGUAGGAAUAAACUAGCAGUGGGUCUUAACCUGAAAAAUGACUCCAGCCUUUUCUGGUUGUGCUCUGCUUUGGUUUUGUUCUACCUUCAUUUGCUCCUGCGAGGGUUUCCAAGAUAAAAUGUUCCAAGUUGUCUGAAAA